UUCGGUUAAGUUAUGAAGGGCGCACGGUGGAUGCCUUGGCACUAGGAGCCGACGAAGGACGGGACUAACACCGAUAUGCUUUGGGGAGCUGUAAGUGAGCUUUGAUCCAGAGAUUUCCGAAUGGGGGAACCCAUUGUUCGUAAUGGAACAAUAUCCUUACUUGAAUACAUAGAGUAUGGAAGGC
rnacentral:rRNA from 1 species